AUUCCAGCUCCAAUAGCGUAUAUUAAAGUUGUUGCGGUUAAAAAGCUCGUAGUUGGAGUUCUGCCAGGUGGCGCUCGUCCGCCCAAGUGGUGUGUACAGGGCGUGCAUCUGGCCCUUUCAAGGGGAACGUGUCUGCACUUCAUUGUGUGGUGCGAGAUCCUUGACUUUUACUUUGAAAAAAUUAGAGUGCUCAAAGCAGGCUUUUCACGCUUGAAUAUUCGUGCAUGGAAUAAUGGAAUAGGAACUCGUUUCUAUUUUGUUGGUUUUCGGAAAUCGAGUUAAUGAUUAACAGGGACAAUUGGGGGCAUUAGUAUUCAGACGACAGAGGUGAAAUUCUUGGACCGUCUGAAGACUGACUACUGCGAAAGCAUCUGCCAUGGAUGUUUUCAUCA
rnacentral:rRNA from 1 species